AGAAAACCAUCGGCGCAUCCCACCCCUACGGUCGAGCCGAAUCCAUCACACAAAUCCCGCGAUCAGCUCGAUCACCGCCGCCUCCUCGGCAUGACCCCCUCCCCCCUGCGCCGCCUCAAUUCCCCGUCGUCACGCCCGCUAGGCCGGCGCUUGCCCAAAAACCAUCGCCCCAGGAUGCCGUCGCGCCGGAUGGCCACCUUGCCUCCGCCCGACGAGAUCCAUGUUUGGCCCGCCGCUGCCGUCCUCUUCCCUCUGCUUGUGCCGCCGCCCUCUGCAAGGCAGCCGCCGCCUCCGCCCACCAAGGCCGCUGUCGUCGCCUCCGGUGGCCACGAUCCAUGGGCGGCCCGCGGCCGCCGCCGCCGUUCUCGUUGGAGAUUCCACACCUCGCCCCGCCGCCAUGCUCCACCCCGCCGGCCGUCGUCCCUGCCACCAAGAUCUGCCCUCCCCACUCGGAUAACCUCUCUGCCAUUACCACACCCCCGAUCCGCCUUCCUCCGCCAGGAUUCACGGAUGGCCGAUCCUCCAACUUCGACGCCCUGACAGCUGCUGUCAAGAGAGUGGGCGUGUGUUCGCUACGGGGCUGAAUGACUUCGAGCAUCUCGGGAUAGGCUUCUCUACGACUCAUAUUGUGGUACAGCAGAGGAUGGCUUGACCACUGAUUAGUAUCAUCUAGCGUGUACAGUUUAGGCCACGCUCUCCUCACGCUCACGCACUCCUUCGCGGCCACGCUCUCCUCACCGUGUGACGAGCCCGACCCCGACGACUACGAAUCCGAGACAUCCUCUGCCGACACGGCGGCCGCGCAUGAGGGCUCCUACUCGCCGUGGAGCCUCGAGGACGAGGGUCCCGAGCAGACCUACACCGUGACCCGCAGAUCGCAGCAAUCUGGCGGACAUCGGUGGGAGGGUGAGGAGCCGCAUCUCGAUGAUGCAGAACAACAUGGCCGUGGUGGAGAUCUCCAAGAUCGCGUCCUUGUUCCUGCCGUUUGGGAAGGAGGAGGUGGAUGAAGGAGAUGCCGUCCCCAGCGUGACCGAGAGGAGGUGUUGGUCUUCGUCAGGCACAUCUCCACGCGACCUGAGACGUGGCUCGAUUUCUCCCUCUUCAUCAGCGAGCAUUAUGCGGAUGGAUAAUUAGAGCAUACACAAAUUGAAGCCAUGGUAUUGCAAUUUAGGGUCAGGGUCGCCAGCCGUCGGUGCUCUCUGUCCCCGCCGGCAAGGGCACGAGGAAAUUAACAGCCAUUAACCGCUGUGUAUAUGCCGGCCUUUCAUCGCGACCCCACGGGAGGCUGAGGUCAGGUAGGCCGGCAUCCUAAGCAUCCACCUCUCUUCUCUGAUGUACCUUACAGUUCAGUUCAGUUCAAUCGAUUGAACCUUCAGUUCACCACCGGCACUGAACAUGGCUAGAUCAUGCUGGGAUUUAUAACUGACCUGCAUUUCAUAACUUGCGAUUCUCCACUCUUGAUGUCUGAAUUGUGUAGGCAGUAGCCAAGGCAUGUCAUUGAGAAGCCAUUGAGACUGAUCCAGGUUCAUACUUGCCACAUCCUUCAAUGCCGCAAUCUAACUGUUAGGUACCUCCAGAUUUCAGAGUUGUUGUUGAUUGACACUGCACUUGUUGUUUUGCUACGAGACCCCAUGUUAUAUCUAUAUAACAACAAUGGCAACUUCAGAAUUGGAGGUGAUGUUCUUUCUUCCCAGUUUCUUAGUACCAUAAAUAAUUCAGACUUAUCUGUUUGAUGACUCUCGGCGAAAAGCAAUGCAAUUCCCUUUCUGGUGCUCGCAAUAAUAAGAGUUUUCUGCUAACCUUUUCCCCUAGGCAGUGCUGAAUUUUUUUACUUUUGCGCAUCUUUGUUGUUUUCAUCCGGUGCUGAUUGUAUCAAAUUGGAGCUGGGAAACAUAAGUCCAGGUGGCCAUGGACGCACUGGGAAUGGAAUUGGAAUUUAUCUGCUCCACAGUCAGUUUUUCACCGCCGAGGAUGCAUCUGAAGCUUCAGUUAUGUGUUUGUAGAAUUAAAUUAGAUGCAUUUGUAAUUAGGUGAUUGAUCAAUAUGGAAACACUUUGAAUGUCGUACUUAAGUGGACAGGUGUCUCCUGUAAUAGUUGACAACACUAUGACAACAAAGGUCGGUUCCACAUUCUUUAGGUGAUUGUUCAGUUGUAUAGUUAAUAUCCUUAUUAAUAGUCAAACCUGGAUAAUCUUGUUAUUAUUUCUAUAGUGUGGCAAGGGUAUUCCUAUCAGUUUUCCAGUGA